UACGGAGGGAGCUAGCGUUGUUCGGAAUUACUGGGCGUAAAGCGCACGUAGGCGGCUUUGUAAGUUAGAGGUGAAAGCCCGGGGCUCAACUCCGGAAUUGCCUUUAAGACUGCAUCGCUCGAAUCAUGGAGAGGUGAGUGGAAUUCCGAGUGUAGAGGUGAAAUUCGUAGAUAUUCGGAAGAACACCAGUGGCGAAGGCGACUCACUGGACAUGUAUUGACGCUGAGGUACGAAAGCGUGGGGAGCAAACAGG
rnacentral:rRNA from 1 species